rnacentral:lncRNA from 1 species
CUCUCUACAUAGCUUGUAUAUACUUCUAAAUGCACACAUUGUCUUCCCCGUUAGAAAGUAAGGACUUCGAGAACACAGACUGUUUUUGCUUUUGUCUUUGUAUCCUCAGCAAUUAGCUCAGCAUCCAACACCCAGUGAGCACCUAAUAAAUGGUUGCUGAUUGAUUGAUGGUGGCUGCAUCAUGUGACCAAAAUGAUUUGUGCCAAAGAAGUAGCAUAAAAGACAUCACUGUCUGGGAAAGCCAGCAGACUACUUGUGGAGUGAGAAUAAGAGACAAGAAGAGAGAACCUGUGUGCUUUCAGAAGAUUAGAUUGGCUCAGAGGUCUGGAACUGGCAGAGACUGCAGAGUCCAACACUCAUUAUUUAGAGUUGAGGAAACUGAGUCUCAAGAAGGUUACACAGGGAAUAAGUUUCAGAGAGUCACUGAAGUCGAGUGGCAAGACAAAAGUUGGGAUGACUGGAGAUGUCCAAGAUACAGUGGAUGACUUUGGGAUCUUCCAUGUCUGCAUCAAGCUCUAAGUGCUCCCUUUUGCCAUCUUCAGGACUGUUGGGGAACAAAUUGUUCUCAUCCAACCCUUCCAUGUAGUACAACAAAGGAUGAGUUUAGAGUCAGGGAAUCUGGAUUCAAAUCCUUGCUCUACUCUAUAUACUUGUAUGACCUUAGACAAGUCACUGUACCUGUCUAUUCCUAGUUUCCUCAACUGUAUAAUGAAGCAAUUGGAAAGAUAACCUAUAAAGUCUGCCUGGAUCCAUGAGAUUCUAAAUCAGGUAUUCUUUGCUGUACUCCAUGCUGACUUCUAGAUUUUCUAUAUUAUACUUCUAUAUUGUACUUUUUAAUAUGCUUUUAUUCCUUGUAAUUGUACUCAACUCAAUCUGUUUCAUGAAAGAAAAUUGGUUUAUUUUAUGAUGGUUUUAAGCAUCAUACUGAAUCUCGAGACAUGGAAGAGUGGCAGUGUAUAUACCAAGGUAGGCAAUACCAGCCCUAUGACCCCAUUCAAUGAAGUCAUCUCUUGGAUGGAUAAAGGCUUCCAAAAAGGCUCCACUUAGGACUCUUUUAGCCCAAGGUCCCUCCCUCCAUUAGAGAUAGAGAUGUUCAGAGGCAAAGGAUUUGGGCUGUUGAAGGGCCCUGCUCAGUCUCCCUAAGACUGAAGGGUAGAUGAGUUGGGCAAAGACUUUUUCUUUUCUUUCUUUUUUUUAUUCUUUUUUUUUAAUUUUGAGUUCCAAAUUCUCUCCCUUUCUUCCCUCCUUCCUGAGAGAGUAAAUGAUCUGGUAAAGAUUUCACAUGUGUAAUCAUGGAAAACAUUUUCAUAUAUCUAAGUCAUUUUGUGGAUGAGGUCUCCAACAAAAAAAUGUUUAAAGAAGAAAGAAAAUUAAAUAUGGUAUAUUUUGUUCUGCAUUCAAACUCCAUCAGUUCUUUCUCUGGAGGUGGAUGGCAUUUUUCAUCAUGAACCCUUGGGAUUGUCUGGUAUCACUGUAUUGCUGAGA